GACGAACGCUGGCGGCGUGCCUAAUACAUGCAAGUCGAGCGGACUUAAAAAGCUUGCUUUUUAAGUUAGCGGCGGACGGGUGAGUAACACGUGGGCAACCUGCCUGUAAGACUGGGAUAACUUCGGGAAACCGGAGCUAAUACCGGAUAAUCCUUUUCUACUCAUGUAGAAAAGCUGAAAGACGGUUUACGCUGUCACUUACAGAUGGGCCCGCGGCGCAUUAGCUAGUUGGUGAGGUAACGGCCCACCAAGGCGACGAUGCGUAGCCGACCUGAGAGGGUAAUCGGCCACACUGGGACUGAGAAACGGCCCAGCCCCCUACGGGGGGCAGCAGUAGGGAAUUUUCCGCAAGGGCCGAAAGGCUGAGGGGGCAACGCCCGGGGGGGGAUGAAGGUUUUCGGAUGGAAAAACCCUGUUUUUAGGGAAGAAAAAGUACGGGAGUAACUGCCCGUCCCUUGACGGGCCCUAACCAAAAAGCCCCGGCUAACUACGU
rnacentral:rRNA from 1 species